UGGGGUGUAGCCAAGCGGUAAGGCUGCGGACUCUGACUCCGCCAUUUCGUGGGUUCGAAUCCUACCACCCCAACCA
rnacentral:tRNA from 1 species